AAGGAAAGGUCUUGUGCUGACACAGGGAGAAAGCUGUCAUUUACAAGCUGGGAGGAGACCUUCACCAGAAACUGAAUUUGCUACCACCUGGAUCAUGAACUUCUACUCUCCAAAACGGAAGGAGGUGAUGAAGAGAGAAAGAAAGGAUGGAAGGAAGGAAGGAGGAAGUGGACAAUGAGCCCAGAGCCCUCACCUGAGUUCCAAACAUUUAAGUCAAACUGCCAACUUCAUUCUCCAUUUGGACGAUUUCUCAACAUGUACAAAACCAAGUCCUGAUUUUUCCGUGACCCCAAAUCUGUUCUAUCUGAAGCCUCCCUAUCUCAGUUACUGAGACAGGGUCUGUCUGUCUUUGUCACUCGCACUUCACGCUGGAGUGCAGUGGUGCGAUCAUAGCUCACUGCAACAUCAAACUCCUAGAUUCAAGCGACCUGAUCCUUCCACCUCAGCCUCCG